UCAGAUGUUGUGUAGUAGGAACGCGGCCUCUUGUCAUAAUUUAUCGGCUGAAGCAUUUCAGCGGCAGUCCGGGGUUCAAAUCCCUGCGUCUAAU